UACGUAGGGUGCGAGCGUUAAUCGGAAUUACUGGGCGUAAAGCGUGCGCAGGCGGUUCCGCAAGUCAGAUGUGAAAUCCCCGGGCUUAACCUGGGAACUGCGUUUGAAACUACGGAGCUAGAGUACGGCAGAGGGGGGUGGAAUUCCACGUGUAGCAGUGAAAUGCGUAGAUAUGUGGAGGAACACCGAUGGCGAAGGCAGCCCCCUGGGCCGAUACUGACGCUCAGGCACGAAAGCGUGGGGAGCAAACAGGAUUAGAUACCCUGGUAGUCCACGCCCUAAACUAUGUCAACUAGUUGUCGGGGAAGCAAUUCCUUGGUAACGAAGCUAACGCGUGAAGUUGACCGCCUGGGGAGUACGGUCGCAAGAUUA
rnacentral:rRNA from 1 species